rnacentral:rRNA from 1 species
UACGAAGGGGGCUAGCGUUGCUCGGAAUCACUGGGCGUAAAGGGCGCGUAGGCGGCCAUUCAAGUCGGAGGUGAAAGCCCAGGGCUCAACCCUGGAAUUGCCUUCGAUACUGUUUGGCUAGAGACCGGAAGAGGUAAGUGGAACUGCGAGUGUAGAGGUGAAAUUCGUAGAUAUUCGCAAGAACACCAGUGGCGAAGGCGGCUCACUGGCUCGAUACUGACGCUGAGGUGCGAAAGCGUGGGGAGCAAACAGG